rnacentral:rRNA from 1 species
UACAGAGGUCCCAAGCGUUGUUCGGAUUCACUGGGCGUAAAGGGUGCGUAGGCGGUCGGGUAAGUCUGAUGUGAAAUCUCACAGCUUAACUGUGAAAACUGCAUUGGAUACUAUCCGGCUCGAGGAAUGGAGGGGGAGACUGGAAUACUUGGUGUAGCAGUGAAAAUGCGUAGAUAUCAAGUGGAACACCAGUGGCGAAGGCGAGUCUCUGGACAUUUCCUGACGCUGAGGCACGAAAGCCAGGGGAGCAAACGGG